GACGAACGCUGGCGGCGUGCUUAACACAUGCAAGUCGAACGGAAAGGCCCGGCUCUUGCGGGGUGCUCGAUUGCCGAACGGGUGAGUAACACGUGAGUAACCUCUCCUUGACUUUGUGAUAACUUCAGGAAACUGGGGCUAUUACCGGAUAUGAUCUCCUGCUGCAUGGUGGGGGUUGGAAAGUUUCGGCGGUUGGGGAUGGACUGGCUGCUUAUCAGCUUGUUGGUGGGGUAGUGGCUUACCAAGGUUUUGACGGGUAGGCGGCAUGAGAGGGUGACCGGCCACAAUGGGACUAAGAGACGGAGCAGAAUCGUACGGGAGGCAGCGGUGGGGAGUCUGACGCAGUAGGGGGAAGCGUGUGGCGAAAGCGCCGGGAGCGGGAAACUGGGCUUUGAGUUAUAAACAGAUGUCGACUGUGCUGUGGCGAGCGUGACGGUAAUUGGUAAAAAAGCAACGGCUAACUACGUG
rnacentral:rRNA from 1 species